CACAAUUAAAAAACAUAAAGAAGAAAAUCAUUCAACACCAAUCAAUAAUUAACAACCUUUUUUCCUUGAUUCUUUAAUAAUCACAAGAAUUAAAUGAGAUUAACUUCAAUUUCAUCUCGAGUCUAGAAUCCGUCUUCCUCCCACGAUUAAUUCAUCGAUCUUGUAAUAAUCGAAUAAAGAACAGAGGAGGAUGAUAGGCGAUAUAUGAGAUAUGAAACAUAAUAGAUGAGAGAGGGU
rnacentral:lncRNA from 1 species